UACGGGGGGGGCAAGCGUUGUUCGGAAUUACUGGGCGUAAAGGGCUCGUAGGCGGCCAACUAAGUCGGAUGUGAAAUCCCCAGGCUUAACCUGGGAACUGCCUUCGAUACUGGGAGUCUCGAGUCCGGGAGAGGUGAGUGGAACUGCGAGUGUAGAGGUGAAAUUCGUAGAUAUCGCAAGAACACCAGUGGCGAAGGCGGCUCACUGGCCCGGUACUGACGCUGAGGUGCGAAAGCGUGGGGAGCAAACAGG
rnacentral:rRNA from 1 species